AAAUGAUAUAUCUUGCAUUUUGGAAUAAGAAUAGUAUGGUUUUGCCGGAAAAACAUAAGCAGUGCUUCCUAUAAUGAGUAAACACUACAACAAAGUAAAUUCAACAGAGCACAUUAAAUCUUAAAGAGAGAAAACCAAGAACCUGACAGCGAAACUCCCUGAGGACUCAACCUAUGGACUCUCGAUAACGGAUCCAAGUGACAACGAAUGAUGCU
rnacentral:sRNA from 1 species